rnacentral:rRNA from 1 species
UAUGAAGGGGGCUAGCGUUGCUCGGAAUCACUGGGCGUAAAGCGCACGUAGGCGGAUCUUUAAGUCAGGGGUGAAAUCCUGGAGCUCAACUCCAGAACUGCCUUUGAUACUGGGGAUCUCGAGUCCGGGAGAGGUGAGUGGAACUGCGAGUGUAGAGGUGAAAUUCGUAGAUAUUCGGAAGAACACCAGUGGCGAAGGCGGCUCACUGGCCCGGUACUGACGCUGAGGUGCGAAAGCGUGGGGAGCAAACAGG